rnacentral:rRNA from 1 species
GACGAACGCUGGCGGCGUGCCUAAUACAUGCAAGUAGAACGCUGAAGGAGGAGCUUGCUUCUCUGGAUGAGUUGCGAACGGGUGAGUAACGCGUAGGUAACCUGCCUGGUAGCGGGGGAUAACUAUUGGAAACGAUAGCUAAUACCGCAUAAGAGUAGAUGUUGCAUGACAUUUGCUUAAAAGGUGCAAUUGCAUCACUACCAGAUGGACCUGCGUUGUAUUAGCUAGUUGGUGGGGUAACGGCUCACCAAGGCGACGAUACAUAGCCGACCUGAGAGGGUGAUCGGCCACACUGGGACUGAGACACGGCCCAGACUCCUACGGGAGGCAGCAGUAGGGAAUCUUCGGCAAUGGACGGAAGUCUGGCCGAGCAACGCCGCGUGAGUGAAGAAGGUUUUCGGAUCGUAAAGCUCUGUUGUAAGAGAAGAACGAGUGUGAGAGUGGAAAGUUCACACUGUGACGGUAUCUACCA